UACGUAGGGAGCGAGCGUUGUCCGGAAUCAUUGGGCGUAAAGAGCUCGUAGGCGGUUUGUCGCGUCUGCUGUGAAAACCUAAGGCUCAACCUUGGGCUUGCAGUGGGUACGGGCAGACUAGAGUGCGGUAGGGGUGACUGGAAUUCCUGGUGUAGCGGUGAAAUGCGCAGAUAUCAGGAAGAACACCGGUGGCGAAGGCGGGUCUCUGGGCCGAUACUGACGCUGAGGAGCGAAAGCGUGGGGAGCGAACAGG
rnacentral:rRNA from 1 species